rnacentral:rRNA from 1 species
UACGAAGGGGGCUAGCGUUGCUCGGAAUUACUGGGCGUAAAGGGCGCGUAUGCGGCACUGUUAGUCAGGCGUGAAAGUCCUGGGCUCGACCUGGGAACUGCGCUUGAUACGGCAGAGCUAGAGGAUGGAAGAGGCUCGCGGAAUUCCCAGUGUAGAGGUGAAAUUCGUAGAUAUUGGGAAGAACACCGGUGGCGAAGGCGGCGAGCUGGUCCAUUACUGACGCUGAGGCGCGACAGCGUGGGGAGCAAACAGG